rnacentral:rRNA from 1 species
ACUAGUGAUUUCCGUAGGUGAACCUGCGGAAGGAUCAUUACCACACAACAUACGAUCCAAACGAUCAACACUUUGCGAAUUGUGACUUCGUUGAGAAUUUAUUCUUCUCGGAACACUUUUUACAAAAACAAAAACUCUUUAAACCAACAUACUGAUUUAAAGUGGAGAACAGAGAUGCGCUCUUGUGUAUCUUUCUUAUCCAAAAAAAACUAAAAUUUUACAACUUUUAGCAACGGAUAUCUUGGCUCACGCAACGAUGAAGAACGCAGCGAAAUGCGAUACGUAAUGUGAAUUGCAGAAUUCAGUGAAUCAUCAAAUUUUUGAACGCAAGUUGCGCUUCCGGGUAUCCCUGGUAGCAUGCCUGUUUCAGUGUCCGUAACCCCAACUCACCCCACCGUUCUUUGCGGAAUGUGUGAGGGUUGGACUAUGGAUGUCUAGCUUUCACGGGCUAGUUGUCUGAAGUGGAGAGGUCGUUGAAUCGUCCUGACAGUGAGGUAUGCCUGGCGGCAAACCACCCCUGCCGGUUCGGUUAUUCCACAGCGACCCGACCGCCNCCAAGCUUUCACGAGUUUGUCGACGGCCCCAUUUAACUCCUCAUCUAAAAUCAAAUAACACUUCACGGUGGAUUUAAGCAUAUCAA